GGCGGCGUGCUUAACACAUGCAAGUCGAGCGGAAAGGCCCUUCGGGGUACUCGAGCGGCGAACGGGUGAGUAACACGUGAGUAACCUGUCCUUGGCUUUGGGAUAACCCUCGGAAACGGGGGCUAAUACCGGAUAUGACCUUUACCUGCAUGGGUGGGGGUGGAAAGUUUUUUCGGCUAGGGGUGGGCUCGCGGCCUAUCAGCUUGUUGGUGGGGUGAUGGCCUACCAAGGCGACGACGGGUAGCCGGCCUGAGAGGGCGACCGGCCACACUGGGACUGAGACACGGCCCAGACUCCUACGGGAGGCAGCAGUGGGGAAUAUUGCACAAUGGGCGGAAGCCUGAUGCAGCGACGCCGCGUGAGGGAUGACGGCCUUCGGGUUGUAAACCUCUUUCAGCAGGGACGAAGCGUGAGUGACGGUACCUGCAGAAGAAGCGCCGGCCAACUACGUGCCAGCAGCCGCGGUAAGACGUAGGGCGCGAGCGUUGUCCGGAUUUAUUGGGCGUAAAG
rnacentral:rRNA from 1 species